AUGCUCACUUGGGAAGCACAUACACUAAAAUCGGAACUAUACAGAGAUUAACAUGGCCCCUGCAUAAGGAUGACAUGCAAACCAAUGUAUCUCAUUACGAAAUU
ensembl:snRNA U6 U6 spliceosomal RNA